AGGCUGAGUGUGCAGUGUAUGAAAUACAUUUGCAGAACGCAAAGCUGCUGGUCAGUGGAGGUAGGGCGAAGCAAGUCAUAUGUGUCUAGCUGACGUCAGACCAUCCUCUCUCUCUCUCUCUCUCUCUCUCUCUCUCUCUAUUGCGUUCCUUUUGUCUCAUCUGACUGCUGCAGCAACAGACAUAAGGCACUGACUGCAAAGCAAGUGGAGCGAAGCGGAAAGGAUUAGGGCAAGAAUUGAGGAACAGACUGGAAGGGAAAAAACAACGUAUAAAAAUAAGUAUCAAUUCUACUCUUCACAUUUGUCAUGGGAUUAGGCGAGGCUAGGUGUGAUGAGUCCCCUACAAAAAUGAAAAGAGAUUUAUUGAUAACAUGUAUUCUAAUUUAUAUUAUUAUAUUCUAAUAUUUUAGAUUAUAUUCAAUACGUAUGAGGACAGAUGUGAUUAAAUAGAUGCGAAAUUAGAAAUUAUAUAUCACUCACAAACCUAAUCCUGGCUGUGAUGAUGAUAUCAAGAGGGAAGAAACAAUAGCAGUUGGCCUAACGCUAAUACAUGCCUACAAUUUUCCCUGGAAGCCGACAAGUCACAACUAACGCAUGAUGUGUGAGAAAUAAUUUAUUUUCAAGGUGUCAAUAUCAGGAUAUGGGGAUGAAAGCGUCUGCGAGUUGAGCAAUAAACUACUCAUUUCCUUAUAGAAAUAUGGAGGAGAUAUUGUAUGUAGGGCUGUGGCGAAGUCAGCAGGCAACGAUCAUGGAAUUAACAGCCAGUCUCACGUGUGUUUCCGGUGUCCUGGAACGCACCCUGUCUGGUUG